UACGUAGGGUGCAAGCGUUGUCCGGAAUUAUUGGGCGUAAAGAGCUCGUAGGCGGUCUGUCGCGUCUGCUGUGAAAACUCAGGGCUUAACCCUGAGCUUGCAGUGGGUACGGGCAGGCUUGAGUUCGGUAGGGGAGACUGGAAUUCCUGGUGUAGCGGUGAAAUGCGCAGAUAUCAGGAGGAACACCGGUGGCGAAGGCGGGUCUCUGGGCCGAUACUGACGCUGAGGAGCGAAAGCGUGGGGAGCGAACAGG
rnacentral:rRNA from 1 species